AGUGAACGCUGGCGGUAGGCCUAACACAUGCAAGUCGAACGGCAGCACAGAGGAGCUUGCUCCUUGGGUGGCGAGUGGCGGACGGGUGAGGAAUACAUCGGAAUCUACUCUGUCGUGGGGGAUAACGUAGGGAAACUUACGCUAAUACCGCAUACGACCUACGGGUGAAAGCAGGGGACCUUCGGGCCUUGCGCGAUUGAAUGAGCCGAUGUCGGAUUAGCUAGUUGGCGGGGUAAAGGCCCACCAAGGCGACGAUCCGUAGCUGGUCUGAGAAGAUGAUCAGCCACACUGGAACUGAGACAAGGUCGAGACUCCUACGGGAGGCAGCAGUGGGGAAUAUUGGACAAUGGGCGCAAGCCUGAUCCAGCCAUACCGCGUGGGUGAAGAAGGCCUUCGGGUUGUAAAGCCCUUUUGUUGGGAAAGAAAUCCAGCUGGCUAAUACCCGGUUGGGAUGACGGUACCCAAAGAAUAAGCACCGGCUAACUUCGUGCCAGCCGCCGCCGUAAUAC
rnacentral:rRNA from 1 species